CCCGGUCCCGCCUGCUCUGAUCGGGAGCAACGUUAAGGUGUUGCACACAUUUUACAAGCUGCAAAACCCGGAGUUGUAGCGGGAUCCACACAGCCGCCUCCAAUAACUCCACCGCCACCAAAUGGAUUAAAAAAGACAACACAGUCACCAUGUGACCCACUUGCCCAACUCCAGGGGAAUUCUAAACCGACAACUGGGCUCGGUACAGUUACUUUAAAAAAAGUCAAAGGACGAGACAGAGGCACAAGAAACAGCAACAGAUCCACUGCUUAAAAAGUGGGGAAUUGCACGUUGUUGCUAUGGUGACUGGGUUUCAACAGGGAGGGAUCCCAGGAGACAUUUGUGGGCGUUUCAUUCAGAAACAAAAGCGAAAAACGAACUGAGAGGAUUAGUAAAAAAGCUGUGUGUAACCCGAAGCCACCGCGGCUAGGAGCGAGAGAAUUCACUUGUUAGUAAACCAGCUCAGGCAGAAAUGACGAGAGGAAAUACCAGCUACAAUUUCAAGAUUACAUUCGUGAAAACAGCAGAUGUCAACUUUGAUUAUUUUUAUUCGGACUGGAAAAUGUGUAUUUUGCAAAUAUUUAUGAAAAACAUAUGAUUUCUGAAAAUUACCAAGUCUCAGCAUGUUUCCUCAAUCUUUUGACAAGAUUCACUUGGUUAUUCAAAUUAUUAUUGUGACUCUCGCGUAAUAGAUUCAUUAACAAUUAUUUGAAUCUUUGACAUGAAAUUAAAUGAUGAUGAAUAACUAAAACAGCUCAUUGAUGGCGGCAACCUAACGUGGAGUUUUUUAAAAAAAUGUUAUUAUGGUUCUUGGUCAUUGCUGCGCACGAUCCAAAGGCGAAUUAAAUUCAGAAACUCAAUUUACCCGCGUUUCUCCUCCUCUGGGAAUUCACAAAAUGAAAGCCUGCUCUUCGUAAAUAUUAACAUAAAGGGGUGGGGAAGGGUGUGUGUGUGAAAGAACAGAUGGUAGACGCCGUGUAAUCUUACCAUUAAACGUAUUUCUUUGGCA